CAGAGAAAUUGCAUUAUUUGCAGAGGCUCUGACAAUUCUUUUGUUUUUUUACUUCUCAGAUACUUCCUGGAGAACUGUCAGAAUUGUCACGUGCUGGUAUUUUGCCCUCUGGCACGGGAAGAAACAGUGCACAUAGCAACUUGAGUUGACCUCAUUUAUCCUAUUCAAAAAUCUUCCUCUUUCAGAUGAACAACAAAGCCAGUAACCAAAAUAAAUAAAAAUCCGCUUUUCUUGUGAGCUCUAAUUAGUUACUGUACAAUACCAUCAGCAGAUCUUGGGAGGAGGAAAGUAGAUGAUACAUUUUCCUGAAGAAUAUUUAUUUUAUCAGACUGAUUGUUUUUCAUUUAAGUCAAGCAGACGUGUUUGGUGUCACAUCCCUUCAACACGCAGACAGCUCGGGUUCUUUGCCUUGGGUGCCUCUUGCUGGCAGGACUGACUGCAUUGGCCUGAAAGUAUCUGCUUCUUCUGAUGUCCAG